AUUGAACGCUGGCGGCAUGCCUUACACAUGCAAGUCGAACGGUAACAGGUUAAGCUGACGAGUGGCGAACGGGUGAGUAAUACAUCGGAACGUGCCCAGUAGUGGGGGAUAGCCCGGCGAAAGCCGGAUUAAUACCGCAUACGACCUAAGGGUGAAAGGGGGGGAUCGCAAGACCUCUCGCUAUUGUAGCGGCCGAUGUCAGAUCAGGUAGUUGGUGGGGUAAAGGCCCACCAAGCCGACGAUCUGUAGCUGGUCUGAGAGGACGACCAGCCACACUGGGACUGAGACGCGGCCCAGACACCUACGGGAGGCAGCAGUGGGGAAUGUUGGAAAAUGGGGGCAAGCCUGAUCCAGCCAUGCCGCGUGCGGGAAGAAGGCCUUCGGGUUGUAAACCGCUUUUGUCAGGGAAGAAAUCCUUUGGGUUAAUACCUCGGGGGGAUGACGGUACCUGAAGAAUAAGCACCGGCUAACUACGUGCCAGCAGCCGCCGUAA
rnacentral:rRNA from 1 species